GCCAUUGACAACAUCACCGCCAACCCCAGCCAUGUUAAUCAAACAUACAGUCAUCCCGGAGGCUUCCAGCUCGCCGCCCUACGUAGAAUAUGAACAAUUUAUUAUUUUCGGCGACUCCAUAACGCAGGGCUCGUGCGAUCAGGGGAGAGGAUUCGCCUUUUCUCCAGCGCUACAGAGUGAUUAUAUCAGACGCUUCGAUAUCAUCAAUCGCGGUUUCAGUGGCUAUACAUCGCAACAGGCUCUCGCCAUCUUUCCGUCCUUCUUCCCGCCAGUGCAAAAGGCGAAAGUCCGCCUAAUGAUUGUCUUCUUCGGCGCAAACGACGCCGUCCUCCCUGGAUUCGAACAACACGUCCCCCUCCCCACCUACGAAGCCAACUUAAGAAAAAUCCUCACACACCCGCUCAUCAAAGAGCACAAGGAAACAAACCUUCUCCUCCUAACCCCUCCGCCUGUCGAUGAGUAUCAGUUUUCCGCUGCAGAUACAGAUACAGAUAUGGGUACAGAUACAGGUACAGCUACACCGUCAGGCACGCCCGAACCAGCCUCCGUAGCAGUAAUGCGCAAAGCGUCCCAGACAAAAAAGUAUGCAGACGCCUGCCGGCAAGUGGGCAAAGCGCUCAACGUGCCCGUCGCCGACAUAUGGACUGCAUUCAUGACCGCAGCGGGGUGGGUGGAAGGCCAGCCGCUCCCGGGAUCAAGAGAUGCCCCUGCGAAUAAGAAGUUGCAGGCCUUGUUGUCGGAUGGUCUCCAUUUCAACCCGGCAGGAUAUCAAGUUAUGUACGACGAGGUGACGAGGGCGAUUCGG
rnacentral:sRNA from 1 species